UGGAACGGUGGACCAGUUUAUAUGACACUGAUCUGUAGUUUUGUAUAAUAUGAUCACUUGGUAUUUCUCUCUAUGUAAGUGCAACGAAGAUGACAGACAGUGGACAUCAAAAGGAGGAAAGACAAGUUAAACAUAAACGGGAUAGUUUUCCUGUUUCGUUUAUGAAACAUUCAUCACAGUUCAAGAAAUUGGAGGUCACCAGACACUUCUAUCAAAAGGAUUUUUAUUAAAGAAACACAAAAUUUUAGAAGGCAGACAAAAUGGCAGAAGUUACUACAACCACAGAGAACAGUAGUGAAGGAUACAUUUUGAGGAAAAUCUUUAGAGAUAGCUUUGGUUGGACGGAAAAAUGGAAACAUGUAUUUGGGAAUAUUACAUUUACAAAGAUGAUUGUUCGAAAAGUUAAGAAGAGUUUGAAGAUGAAUAAUUCCAACUACAGAUCUGCAUGUCACUAAAAGAUCAGAUUACUAAACGAUUAGUACCAGAUGCAUUAUAACGAAGCUUCAAGUUGUCUCUCAGUUUGUCUGUA